rnacentral:rRNA from 1 species
GGUGAGUAACACGUGAGUAACCUGCCCUUGACUUUGGGAUAACUUCAGGAAACUGGGGCUAAUACCGGAUAGGAGCUCCUGCUGCAUGGUGGGGGUUGGAAAGUUUGGCGGUUGGGGAUGGACUCGCGGCUUAUCAGCUUGUUGGUGGGGUGGUGGCUUACCAAAGGCUUUGACGGGUAGCCGGCCUGAGAGGGUGACCGGCCACAUUGGGACUGAGAUACGGCCCAG